GCCACCAUCUCCCACCAUGAUGGUAAUGAACUAAACCUCUGAAACUGGACUAAAUGGCAUUAAUUGGAGAGUGGAGAAGUGUGUAUUACUUAAUUAACCUGAGAUGGUGGCCUCUGCUGAAAACCCACAGCUACCAGUGUAGCCCCAGCCUUUCAUACAGCCAGCAGCAGAGUAAGUUUGAGAAAUCAGAGUCGCCAUAACCAGCGAGGAUGUGUUGCACUAUGCCGUUCUAACGGCCACGACACCACUGAGCGCUGAGUUCUUCAAGGCCCACCUUUGUAUGCGGUCUACGGGCGAUAGAAUUGUGUUUCUGCGGUACAUAACUGCAUAUUGCUUGAUCUACCUCUAAGAACUUUCAUACAGGUAGGUACUGUGUGUUGAACGUAACCCCCCCUGCCCUGUUCCUAUGGCCUCACCCUGGAAGGGAUUUCUUGCCAGCCUUCCCACCUCCCCUGGCUCCCACUCCAUCAAUGCUGCACCCUUCCAUUCAUCCUGGCUAUGAGACUCCCACCCUGACACAGAAGGAAGGUCUGAGAGAAAGCACUGUAGUCUGCAGCAUUCCAAGGGCAUUUGGACAGAAGCCACGAGGCCUGCAAAGGAAAGGGGAGGAAGGGAAGCUUGGCUGUGUGGCCCCACAGCUCUCCUUCCUCCUAUUCAAGUGGGGAUUUCAUUCUUAAUGCUGAUUUCUUUCUUCCUCUCUGGAAUUGUCUUACAUAAUUCAAGCGAGUGAAGGAGUCAACUUAAUUUGAUGGCAUAAAAAGAACUGUACCUUUGUUUUCUUAAAGAGAACUAAUGUCUGCCUUUGUCUCUUAUUUAUGGACACAAUAAACCAAGCUUUACUGGGGAGAGACGGAAAAUGCACCGGAAAAGGACGAAAUAUUUAUAACACUGUGAUUGGAGCAUUAGAAAUGGGGAAAUUAAAACCAUCCCUCAGCACAAGGGAUGCACACGUGUGCAGAGACUCCUGUGUGUGUUUCAGUCUCAGCACAAGGGAAACAUGCAUGUGCAGAAACUCCUGUGUGCGUUUCAGCCUCUUCUAUGGGGUUGUUCUGCUGACAGCCUUGGUCAUGGGGGAGUUAGAACCGAAGCAGAUGUAUUUAAAGAAUCAUGUGUCCUUGUGUAAGAGGAAAAGCAAGCCAGAAAGCCUUGAAGCUUCUGGAUUCUGGAAACUUCAUGAUCUGAAAAUGCUGUCAUACACCUGUCUCACAGGGCCUCACUGUCCUCAGAGAAGACAUCAUGGCGGUCAACCUUCAAAUGUCGAGGGGGACACCCAGAAGUUCCACUCAUAAGCUACUACAAUAGCUUGUGGUGGAGUUUUCCUGUCCUGACCUCCUGCUCCCAAAUAACCAACACAGAAACUCAAUAUUAAUUGUAAAUGCUCUGCCAAUCUCUCAGGCUGGUUACUAACCAGCUCUUACAACUUAACCCAUUUCUAUUCAUCUAUGUGUUGCCCUGGGACUUGUGCUUUUCUCUAUCCCAUUCUGUGUAGCUGACUCCUUCUCUGUCCAGACUGCUACUCCUCUGACUCUGCCCUUCUUCCUCCCAGCAUCCUCUUAGUCAUUUUUUGUAGAAGGCCGCAGCCACAUUCUCCAUCACAAGAUGGCGCUG